rnacentral:rRNA from 1 species
AUACGUAGGUGGCAAGCGUUGUCCGGAUUUAUUGGGCGUAAAGCGAGCGCAGGCGGUUUCUUAAGUCUGAUGUGAAAGCCCCCGGCUCAACCGGGGAGGGUCAUUGGAAACUGGGAAACUUGAGUGCAGAAGAGGAGAGUGGAAUUCCAUGUGUAGCGGUGAAAUGCGUAGAUAUAUGGAGGAACACCAGUGGCGAAGGCGGCUCUCUGGUCUGUAACUGACGCUUAGGCUCGAAAGCGUGGGGAGCAAACAGGAUUAGAUACCCUGGUAGUCCACGCCGUAAACGAUGAGUGCUAAGUGUUGGAGGGUUUCCGCCCUUCAGUGCUGCAGCUAACGCAUUAAGCACUCCGCCUGGGGAGUACGACCGCAAGGUUGAA